rnacentral:rRNA from 1 species
GGAAUCUUAGACAAUGGGCGCAAGCCUGAUCUAGCCAUGCCGCGUGAGUGAUGAAGGCCUUAGGGUUGUAAAGCUCUUUCAGAUGGGAAGAUAAUGACGGUACCAUCAGAAGAAGCCCCGGCUAACUCCGUGCCAGCAGCCGCGGUAAUACGGAGGGGGCUAGCGUUGUUCGGAAUUACUGGGCGUAAAGCGCGCGUAGGCGGACUGGAAAGUUGGGGGUGAAAUCCCGGGGCUCAACCUCGGAACUGCCUCCAAAACUAUCAGUCUGGAGUUCGAGAGAGGUGAGUGGAAUUCCGAGUGUAGAGGUGAAAUUCGUAGAUAUUCGGAGGAACACCAGUGGCGAAGGCGGCUCACUGGCUCGAUACUGACGCUGAGGUGCGAAAGCGUGGGGAGCAAACAGGAUUAGAUACCCCGGUAGUCC